rnacentral:rRNA from 1 species
AGGUGUAGCGGUGAAAUGCGUAGAGAUCUGGAGGAAUACCGAUGGCGAAGGCAGCCAUCUGGCCUAAUACUGACGCUGAGGUACGAAAGCAUGGGGAGCAAACAGGAUUAGAUACCCUGGUAGUCCAUGCCGUAAACGAUGUCUACUAGCCGUUGGGGCCUUUGAGGCUUUAGUGGCGCAGCUAACGCGAUAAGUAGACCGCCUGGGGAGUACGGUCGCAAGACUAAAACUCAAAUGAAUUGACGGGGGCCCGCACAAGCGGUGGAGCAUGUGGUUUAAUUCGAUGCAACGCGAAGAACCUUACCUGGCCUUGACAUACUAGAAACUUUCCAGAGAUGGAUUGGUGCCUUCGGGAAUCUAGAUACAGGUGCUGCAUGGCUGUCGUCAGCUCGUGUCGUGAGAUGUUGGGUUAAGUCCCGCAACGAGCGCAACCCUUUUCCUUACUUGCCAGCAUUUCGGAUGGGAACUUUAAGGAUACUGCCAGUGACAAACUGGAGG